rnacentral:lncRNA from 1 species
CUUGAGCACUGUUCACGAAGACUAUGCCUUGCCUAAUGUUAGCAUACCACCGGCCCAAACACCACAGCCUGAACCUACUGAAAUGCCUUCUAUAACUAGCACGACAGGGAAUUCAAGUGGAUUCGGUGGCGAUCCUCAAUAAGUAGCUCAUGAUCGUUGUGAAGGUAAGUGGAUCGUUGUAUAGUAUUUGUUCAGAUAAUUCCUGUAAUACAAUAAUCCAGUGAGUAAAUUUCUGUCAGAUUUAAUUGCUGUAUAUGAUCAAAUUUGUUGUAGUAUCUCGUCAUGACAUAUAAAUAGGCUGUUGUAGAGUUUGAAGUUCCCUAUUAUAGUUAUGUUUCUGCAUAUGAGAUCAACUCUUGUAACACUACCUGGUGAACUUUUCUUUCGUACUUAUAUUAGUGUACUAGGGAG